rnacentral:rRNA from 1 species
GAUGAACGCUGGCGGCGUGCUUAACACAUGCAAGUCGAACGGAAAGGCUCCUGCUUGCGGGGGUACUCGAGUUGCGAACGGGUGAGUAACACGUGGGUGAUCUGCCCUUCACUUCGGGAUAAGCCUGGGAAACUGGGUCUAAUACCGGAUAGGACUAUGGUUUGUAUGCCAUUGUGGAAAGUUUUUUCGGUGUGGGAUGAGCUCGCGGCCUAUCAGCUUGUUGGUGGGGUAAUGGCCUACCAAGGCGUCGACGGGUAUCCGGCCUGAGAGGGUGUACGGACACAUUGCAACUGGGCUACGGCACAGACCAAUACGGGAGGCAGCAGAGCGGAAUGUUGCACAAUGGGAGGAAGGAUAAUGCAGCGCAGCCGCGUGGGGGAUGACGGCAUUCGGUUUGUAAUCUCAUAUCGUUAGGGCCGAAGCGAAAGUGACGGUACCUGGAGAAGAAGCCCCGGCUAACUACGUG